GUUAUUGGGUUUUGAUUAAAAUUAGAAUUUUCUUUGAUUAGAAUUAGAAUUAGAAUUCUAAAAUUAAAAUUAGAAUUAUUUGAUUCAAUUUUAGUUUUUCUGUUAUUGGGUUUUGUGAAUUUUCUUUUUGUUUCAGUGGCUUCAAGGUUCUGAUAAUUGGUCUGUUUUUGUCCGGAGCUGCUCUCCAGUUCUCCAGUCCUCGAUUUUUGCAUCUCGAAUUUUGCUCGCAAGGUGACGUUCAUCAUCUUUUGAAUUUUUUGGAUCUAUCUUUGCACCUUCUUCCAAGGCUGUUUUGGGAGAUGAUGAGCAGAAACUGGUUUAAUGAGAGAAUAAUAGUUUUGGCAUCGGAGAGAGAUUAUGACUUAUUGAGAGAGUUCAUGAAAAGACAAAGAAUUGGACAUUAAUUAAGAAUUGCAGGCAAGUAAUCUUAUUGACACAUUUUUUUUUUCUUUUUCCUUUUUUAAAUGUUGUGACUGAGGAGGAUGAACCAGACACUUCCUGCUAUUGUUGGUCUCAAAGGUGGAUGAAUACUACAAGCGAAUGGUAAUAUUGACUGCCUUUUUACAAGUCUACAUUUGUUCAGGUUUAAGUUUUUCUUAUCUCUCUAAUGAUUUUGUAUUUAUUGUUGUAUAAACUAAACGUGCACUUCUUUGAUUGAUGAGUGUUGAAAGUGGGGCAAUCUCGAGGGCAGAAUUUACGUUAUUUUUGGUUUUAUCGUUGACAAACUUUGAAAAUGAUUGACGUUGUAGAAACUUAUACAGAUUUGGUUUGG